rnacentral:lncRNA from 1 species
GUAUGAAACAAUCAUGGCCAGCUAACACCUCCCAACUAAGGAUUCCCCCAGGCAGUAAGCAGCCAGACCUUGAAGCUGCGAGGCUAUUCAACGCUAAUCAAGGUGGCCAAUUGCAACAUUCACACCUGCCUCAAAGAGACAAGAGGUCUUUCUCCCACCCUGAACACUCCACAAAUGCCACUUGCCUAAUUUCCACCCUCUGAGAAUGCCUGCCAUAGAUGCAGGCAAACAUCGGGAAAGAAUGCUUCUGGAACAUAGCCAUACAGCCCGGAAAACUCACAGCAACCCGGACCUGGAUGUGUUGGAGCAGAGGUUGCUAGGGGCCAAGAGAGGUCUGCUGCAUCCCAUCUUUAGCUGUAUCCCAUCCCUGGGAUAGGCAAGAUCUUCCCCCGCUAUGAUGAGCACCCAUCCAUUCAUUCUUCCUCCUUUUUGGGGGAUGAGAAAGACGUCCUUAAGGUGGAGGACGUUUAAGGUAGCCCUAGUUCUACCUUAAGCGUCGCCUGGAGCAGGGGCACCUCCGAUCCCCCCACAAAAGCCUCCUCAGUCUCCUCCUCCUCUUGCUCCCCUCCCUCCCUCCCUCCUCUCCCGGAAGCCAGAGCUGCUGAGAAAGAGAGGAGGGGGUCUCCCUUCCUCCCCGGAUUGGUCGGCGGCCCCCUCUCCCUGAGCGUCGAAGGAGGCGCUGAUUGGCCGCUCCAUCUUGUCACUCGGGCGAGGGCCAAGUUCUACCGCGGGCUGGGCGUGCGGACGGGGACUGCUGCUGCUGCUGCUGGUGGUGCAGCUGCGGCGAGAGCGAGCGGGACCGAGAGGCAGCGCGAGCACCAGAGCCAGAGGCGUGAUGCUGGCGAAAUGGGGAGCCGGGCAACAGAGGAUGCGGGGACUCCGCUGAAGGCGCGGCGGGGGCUGCCCAGACGCCGCCUCCGAUGAAGCAGACAAGUUGGUCUGGAUUCAGAAAAAAAGCAUAUGGUGGGUUGCUGUGAGUCUUUCGGGCUGUGUGGCCAUGUUCCAGAAGCUUUCUCUCCUGACGUUUCACCCACAUCUGUGGCAGGCAUCCUCAGAGCUUGUGAGGUAUGUUGAGUUUAUAUCUCUGUGUAAGUGGGGUUUUAUAUCUCUGUGUAAGGUCCAGGGUGGGAGAAAAAAUUGUCUGUUGGAAGCAUGUGUGGAUGUUGUAAUUAAUCACCUUGAUUAGCAUUUCAUGGCCCUGUGGCCUCAAGAUCUGGCUUCUUCCUGUAUGUGAGAAUCUUUCCUUUGGAGGUGUUAGCUGUCCCUGAUUGUUUCAUGUCUGGAAUUUCUCUGUUUUCAGAGUGUUGUUCUUUAUUUACUGUUCUGAUUUGAAAUACUGGUAGCCAGAUUUUGUUCAUUUUUAUGGUUUCCUCCUUUCUGUUGAAAUUGUCUCCAUGCUUGUGGAUUUCAAUGGCUUCUCUGUGUAGUCUGAUGUGGUAGUUGUGAGAGUGGUCCAGCAUUUCUGUGUUCUCAAAUAAUAUGCUGUGUCCAGGUUGGUUCAGCAAGUGCUCUGCUAUGGCGGACUUCUCUGGUUGAAGUAGUCUGCAGUACCUUUCAUGUUUUUUGAUUUGUGUUUGGGCAAUGCUGCGUUUGGUGGUCUCUAUGUAAACUUGUCCACAACUGCAUGGUAUAUGGUAGACUCCUGCAAAGGUGAGAAGAUCCCUCUUGUCCUUCGCUGAACAUAGCAUUUGUUGGAUUUUCUUAGUGGGUCUGUAUUUAUUAUUCAUUUAUUUAUUUGUUUAUUAACAUUUCUAUACUGCUUUUCUUACCCCUGGGGGGACUCAAAGCGGUUUACAACAUAAUAAAUAGCAAAAUUCAAUGCCUCACAUAUGUAUAAAAAUAUAUCACAUAUAAAUCAAAAACAUAUACAGUAGAGUCUCACUUAUCCAACACUUGUUUAUCCAACAUUCUGUAUUAUCCAACGCAUUU